rnacentral:lncRNA from 1 species
AAUAUUGAUUACAGUGUAGUACGUAGCAUCAUCUUAUUCAGAUAUAUAAUAUGCUUUUUGCAUAGAAUACUGCUGAACUAAGCCCGACUGGCUUGUGUGAAAAAAUUAUCUCAAGUGAAGUCGUCCAAUGAAUGUGGACUUCUCUUUUGGGUAUAAAAUAGGUGCAAAGUGUUACAUUAAUCUAGGUGUUGUGGUACCCAAAAUGUCAUAUACAAUAAUUGAUAUGAGAUAGUUGAUUUUGGGAAAUUGAAACAUGUCUCUUGAAGAUAAAGUGUCAAAGUAACUUGAUUAUUAACUGACGUUGAAAAACUAUAACUACUUAGUUUCAGCCUCUACCUUCGCCCCCCACUAACACUACUGCUAAGUGCUAACCCUCCUUGAUCUCAGCUAAUACGAAGUCCGCUGACUUCGUCCCUUCGACUUCCAAGUUCCAACUAUCCUGGAAGAACUCAUUUGACAGUAAGCACAACUAUUGGACUAAACUGCAGUUCCUUGUUUGGUUUGCAGUAUGGACAAAGAGGAUAUUUGGAAUACAGUUUCUACAGAAACUACAAACUUAUUCCUAGCAACAUUCUUUAUCCGUCAUGAGAGCUCACAAGUCUUCUCAGUAUGAUCCUUCAGCAAUAAUGGUCUUCUCGGUACGCUCCUUUACCGAUAAUGGGGGGUGGGGACCCAACACUGCACCGUCGUCGUCAUCAUCCAUACAAGUACACAUAUCAGGGCCAGCAUAACAGAAUACAGACCGUCCAUUUAAGCAAGCACAUCCACACCCUUUGUAAUCAUCUUAUUAGAGUGAACUUCUAUAUUUAAAGAAAGGAAAAAGGUAAAAACAAGCUCUCCCCUACUGCCACUAUCACCCCUAUCUCUACUUGUCAAUUCAGUCAAAGGGGAAUUCACAAUCCUACAACGUUUUUCACUCAUCAACAUAUCUCUAAGUUCAAAUAUUACAACUGCAAAAAUGAGGUCAUUGGGUGACAAAAGACAAACCUGCACAUUGCUUAUCUUCUGCCUUUUCCCUUUCGAGCAUCUAUUUAGAUUGAGUUGAGCAUCUUCUGGUUUGUCGAGAGAGGGGAUCUUUUGUAUGAAUGAUAGGAACGCAUCAGUAUGGGAAACAAUAGCAGAAGACCAACAAUGUCGGGAUAAUUCAUCAUCACCAUCAUCAUCUGCAUCUUUCAGGACAAUGGCAUACCUGAAAUUCCAACUCAGGAGGAGCCUCCCUUGGAAGUCUGAAAAAUUCCAAUAAGGCAUUCACAAUCACAUCAGCAAAUUACAGAAGAAUCCUCAAUACAGAUAAAGCUGAGGCAAACUCCAUUCUAAAACAAAAUAAAAGACUAAAGAAUAAUGCAGCUUACCAGUUAUAUAGGAACAAGUUGGAUGCAUCUCGUCAUAGAAAAUAAUCAACAAACACAAUAUCAAUGUCGAGCUGUGACGAACCAUAGAACUCCAUUCCAAACCCAAAAGACUAACGAACAGUGCAGCUUACCAAGUUUCGUAGGAAGAAGUUGGCUAUGCUGUAGAAGUACCAUAUGCAUCUCGUUACAAGACAAAAAAUAACAAAGUUAGUAUCAUAACAAACAAAAUAUCAAUGUCGCCCACAAAGACUAAAGAACAGUGUAGCUUACCAAUUAUAUAGGAAGAAGUUGACUGUAAUCUAAAGGUGCCAUGACCGAAAAGAUGCAU